GGACACGACACGGGGUGCCGCCUGGCGGCUGAGAGUUAGACCCGUUGAACCUGAUCUCGAUAAUCCGAGCGAAGGGAUGCCGGUCCUGCAGCAA
rfam:Arthrobacter sp. PAMC25486, complete genome.